CGUGGUUAACCUGCCCUUGGGACGGAAACACCCCCGGGAAACUGGGGCUAAUUUCCGAUAGGUGAAGGCUCCUGGAAUGGAUCUUCGCCUAAAGGGCGCUUAGGCCAUGCUUCUAGGCGCUGCCCAAGGAUGGGGCCGCGGCCGAUCAGGUUGUUGGUGAGGUAAUGGCUCACCAAGCCUUUAACCGGUUCGGGCCGUGGGAGCGGGAGCCCGGAGAUGGGCACUGAGACAAGGGCCCAGGCCCUACGGGGCGCAGCAGUCGCGAAAACUCCGCAAUACGCGAAGGCGUGACGGGGCUAUCCCGAGUGCCGUCCGCUGAGGAUGGCUUUUCCCCAGUGUAGAUAGCUGGGGGAAUAAGGAGAGGGCAAGUCUGGUGUCAGCCGCCGCGGUAAUACCAGCUCUCCGAGUGGUGGGGACGUUUAUUGGGCCUAAAGCAUCCGUAGCCAGCUGAGCAAGUCCCCAGUUAAAUCCAGCGAUUUAAUCGUUGGACUGCUGGGGAUACUGUCCGGCUAGGGGGUGGGAGAGGCCGACGGUAUUCCCGGGGUAGGGGUGAAAUCCUAUAAUCCCGGGAGGACCACCAGUGGCGAAGGCUGUUGGCUAAAACAUGCCCGACGGUGAGGGAUGAAAGCUGGGGGAGCGAACCGGAUUAGAUACCCGGGUAGUCCCAGCUGU
rnacentral:rRNA from 1 species